rfam:TPA: Bos taurus chromosome 16, whole genome shotgun sequence.
UCCCUGGUGGCUCAGAGGGUAAAGUGUCUGCCUGCAGUGCGGGAGAUCCAGGUUUGAUCCCUGGGUUGGGAA